rnacentral:rRNA from 1 species
CCUACGGGGGGCUGCAGUGGGGGAUAUUGCACAAUGGGGGAAACCCUGAUGCAGCGACGCCGCGUGGGUGAAGAAGCGCCUCGGCGCGUAAAGCCCUGUCAGCAGGGAAGAAAAUGACGGUACCUGAAGAAGAAGCCCCGGCUAACUACGUGCCAGCAGCCGCGGUAAUACGUAGGGGGCAAGCGUUAUCCGGAUUUACUGGGUGUAAAGGGGGCGCAGACGGCGAUGCAAGCCAGGAGUGAAAGCCCGGGGCCCAACCCCGGGACUGCUCUUGGAACUGCGUGGCUAGAGUGCAGGAGGGGCAGGCGGAAUUCCUGGUGUAGCGGUGAAAUGCGUAGAUAUCGCGCAGAACUCCGAUUGCGAAGGCAGCGUACCGGCGCCAGACUGACGCUGAGGCACGAAAGCGUGGGGAUCGAACAGGAUUAGAUACCCGGGUAGUC